GGUACUGUGGCCGAGUGGUUAGGCGAUGGUCUGCAAAAUCAUCUACUUUGGUUCGAAUCCAAACGGUACCU
rnacentral:tRNA from 1 species